GAAUCCUUUGCUGAAAGACUUCUCCCAACUCAUCUAGUUGUUCAACGCUGCAGCAUUUUAUAUAUAUACCUAUAUCAUUGAAGUUGCCGUCACGACUGAUUUAUUAGUUUGUGCCUUUCACCAGGCUGGGCAGAGAUGUACCAAAUUCAUUUUUACUGAUAAGAACAUAAUGAAUGCUGAAUGAAUGAAUACAAGAAUAAACAGAAGACGUUCAGAAGAAAGUUCACUUGGUAAACAAUUGACAGUCUUAGUGACUAUUUUUAUGCAUUGAAGCAGUGAGAGGGACCAAGGUAUCUCAAAGGAUCCAAGGUUUUUGGAUUGGCUGCAAUGAGCAGAGAUCAGUGCUAUAGGAAGGAGAAAGGCUUUCUUUCACUUUUAGACAUGGCAAUAUGAGGUUUUCAUGGGACAUACAGUCAGUGGUUGUACAUACGAUUUGAGAGCUUAAAAUAAUCUAGAGAAGUAAGUUCAGAGAGUUAUCAACACCUAUGGUGGUUGAUGUAAAAGUGUGGUGAGAUCCCCUUAACAUAAUGUAUUGUGAGAAGAAAAAUGAAAAAAGAAUCCUGGAGAUGACCAGCAUUUAGUGGGGUGAGGAAGAAGAGAAAAGCAGCAAGUAAAGAAUAAAAGUUUCAAGAUUGUCAAGAAUGACGAGUUGGACUUGGUCUAGUUACUUCCACAGCAGCAGGAGGAACAUGUGUGUGACUCAGGAUAACUGGGGAAGCCUUGGCUAGGCUUUCCUCAUGUCAACCUACCACUCAAAGGGAGAAAACCUCCUGAUCAGAGGUGCCCAGAACCCAGGAAAUCCAUAAUUUUUGAAUGCUGGCCGAGGUCUGUGACCUCUGACUGAAUGGUUUCCAAGCUCCGAAUUCCUAGGUGAUGUUUUCAUUUGUUCACACUUGCUGAAGAAGGGAAAGGCUCUCUGAUUUACGUGUAAGCAAAACAAUCUAAACAGUAGGAUAAAAUCAUGU
ensembl:lncRNA LINC01206 long intergenic non-protein coding RNA 1206